rnacentral:rRNA from 1 species
GUUCCGAAAGGAGCGCUAAUACCGCAUACGUCCUACGGGAGAAAGCAGGGGACCUUCGGGCCUUGCGCUAAUAGAUGAGCCUAAGUCGGAUUAGCUAGUUGGUAGGGUAAAGGCCUACCAAGGCGACGAUCUGUAGCGGGUCUGAGAGGAUGAUCCGCCACACUGGGACUGAGACACGGCCCAGACUCCUACGGGAGGCAGCAGUGGGGAAUAUUGGACAAUGGGGGGAACCCUGAUCCAGCCAUGCCGCGUGUGUGAAGAAGGCCUUUUGGUUGUAAAGCACUUUAAGCGAGGAGGAGGCUACCUAGAUUAAUACUUUAGGAUAGUGGACGUUACUCGCAGAAUAAGCACCGGCUAACUCUGUGCCAGCAGCCGCGGUAAUACAGAGGGUGCGAGCGUUAAUCGGAUUUACUGGGCGUAAAGCGUGCGUAGGCGGCCAAUUAAGUCAAAUGUGAAAUCCCCGAGCUUAACUUGGGAAUUGCAUUCGAUACUGGUUGGCUAGAGUAUGGGAGAGGAUGGUAGAAUUCCAGGUGUAGCGGUGAAAUGCGUAGAGAUCUGGAGGAAUACCGAUGGCGAAGGCAGCCAUCU